GGCCCUCAUGGGGUUUUUGAUUAUGUGAUUACUUGGCCGUUUUUUUUUUAAUGAUUAUUUGAUUAUUAAGCCAAAUAUUUCAUGAUUAUUUGAUUACCUAGGACUGUAUUUUUAGUUUAUGAUUAUUUGAUUACUAAAGAUAAGCAAAUAUUUAAUGAUUAUGUGAUUAUAUUGGCAAAAAAAAAUGGUGAUUAUGUGAUUACUAGGACCCCCCAUGAGGGGCCUCAUGACGUGGAGCAGGAUCUGUUUAUCCGCGUUAUGGAGCACCUGAGAUCACCCCCAGUUUUUGGUGGGGUUCGCGUUGCCUAGUCUUUAGUUUUCUAUGUCGUGUUUUGUGUACUAUUAUUUGUCUGUUAGUCUUUUUAUUAUUUUUUGGCCAUGGCGUUGUCAGUUUUGUUUCGACUCAUGAGUUUGUCUGUCCCUCUGAUAUCUUUUGCUCCUCUUUUACAAGCUAGGAUGAAAUUUGGAAAAAAGGCAGGACAGGAGUUUUGAACAAAAAAAGCAGAAUGAGCAAC
rnacentral:lncRNA from 1 species